rnacentral:rRNA from 1 species
AGAGUUUGAUCCUGGCUCAGAACUAACGCUGGUGGCGUGUCUUAGUCAUGCAAGUCGAACGAGAAAGCGUCCUUCGGGGCGCGAGUACAGUGGCGAACGGGUGAGUAAUACGUGGGUAACCUGCCUCCGAGUGGGGGACAACCCCUUUAACGAGGGGCUAAUACCGCAUAACACGGCUUUUUCGCAUGGAAUUGCCGUCAAAGGUGGCCUCUGCUUGCAAGCUGCCGCUUGGAGAUGGGCCCGCGGUCCAUUAGCUUGUUGGUGAGGUAACGGCUCACCAAGGCGAUGAUGGAUAGCCGGCCUGAGAGGGUGAUCGGCCACACUGGAACUGAGACAAGGUCCAGUCCCUUACGGGGGCCAGCAGUCUAGAAAUUUGGGCAAUGGGGGAAACCCUGACCCAGCGACGCCAUGUGGAGGAUGAAGCCCUUAGGGGUGUAAACUCCUGUCAGAGGGGAAGAACGUGAAGAGGUCAAUACCCUCUUCAUCUGACGUACCCUCAGAG